rnacentral:rRNA from 1 species
CCUACGGGAGGCUGCAGUGGGGAAUAUUGGGCAAUGGAGGCAACUCUUACCCAGCAAUGCCGCGUGAAUGAAGAAGGUCUUCGGAUUGUAAAGUUCUUUAAUUGGGGACGAAAAAAAUGACGGUACCCAAGGAAUAAGCCCCGGCUAACUACGGCCCAGCAGCCGCGGUAAUACGUAGGGGGAAAGCGUCGUUCGGAAUGACUGGGCGUAAAGGGGGGGUUAGCGGUGUAGCAAAUUAGAAGGGAAAUACCUAGAGCUUAACUCAGGUGCUGCUUCUAAAACUGCUAUACUUGAGUGCAGUAGAGGAAAGUGGAAUUCCUAGUGUAGCGGUUGAAUGCGUAGAUAUUAGGAGGAACAUCAGUGGCGAAGGCGACUUUCUGGACUGUAACUGACGCUGAGGCACGAAAGUGUGGGGAGCAAACAGGAUUAGAUACCCGUGUAGUC